rnacentral:rRNA from 1 species
CCUACGGGAGGUUGCAGUGGGGGAUAUUGCACAAUGGGGGAAACCCUGAUGCAGCGACGCCGCGUGUGGGAAGACGGUCCUCUGGAUUGUAAACCACUGUCCCCAGGGACGAAGAUGACGGUACCUGGGGAGGAAGCUCCGGCUAACUACGUGCCAGCAGCCGCGGUAAUACGUAGGGAGCGAGCGUUGUCCGGAAUUACUGGGUGAAAAGGGAGCGUAGGCGGGACUGCAAGUUGGGUGUCAAAUCUACCGGCUCAACCGGUAGCCGCACUCAAAACUGCAGUUCUUGAGUGAAGUAGAGGCAGGCGGAAUUCCUAGUGUAGCGGUGAAAUGCGUAGAUAUUAGGCGGAACACCAGUGGCGAAGGCGGCCUGCUGGGCUUUUACUGACGCUGAGGCUCGAAAGUGUGGGGAGCAAACAGGAUUAGAUACCCCAGUAGUC